AAUGAACGCUGGCGGCGUGCUUUACACAUGCAAGUCGAGCGAGGCGGCCCGCAAGGGUCAGUCGAGCGGCGAACGGGUGAGUAACGCGUGGAUGACCUGCCCUUUAGUGGGGAACAACCAGGGGAAACUCUGGCUAAUACCGCAUAAGACCGAAAGGUGAAAGGGGCGUCGCAAGGGCGUCUCGCUGAAGGAGGGGUCCGGCGUCCGAUUAG
rnacentral:rRNA from 1 species